rnacentral:rRNA from 1 species
AGGUAUGUUCCUCUUUUCUGUGUUUUAUGUUAAGAAUAAGUUUAUACUUAUGGUUUUUCUUAGUAUUAAAUAGAACAGUGCCCUUGCUUUAGUUUUUGUAAACCCCAUAGAUCUAUUCUAUUUUUUCUUUUGAUUGCCUUUGGUAUUAUGAUCUCACUAGAAAUAUAAAUGAUUCUAUUUUUCCCGAAAUUAAAAGAUCUACUUCUUAACCUCCUCUACUGUAGCAUUAGUAGAGCUAAUAAGUUGUAGUUAUGAAAACUUAGUCGAUUUUAAUUAUACCUGGUUGCCUUAAGUUAUUACAUUAAGUUAUCAUCUUUUUAGGUGUACAUUUUACUUGGUUAAGCUAAGUAUUUUUGAGUUAAAUUUACGCUGUCAAUACUGUAGUAGAAUUAAAAGUAUUCUAUACUCUGUGUCAUUAUAGCUUUCUCUUUUGUCUAUUUUAAUUUUAAAUUUUUACUCUUUUUUAAGGUAUUUUGGUGUAAUUAAUCUCCUUAUAUAUAAUGUGUGUAUUAUUAGUUUAGUUAUAUAUUUAAUUUUAAUUUUAACUUAUAGGACCAGAAUUCGGCUCUUUUUCUACAACUGUUUAUUAAAAACAUAGCCUUAGGCAAUAUCUAAGGUAUCUUCUGCCCACUGAUUAUUUUAAAUGGCCGCAGUACUCUGACUGUGCUAAGGUAGCGUGAUUCUUGUUUUCUUAAUUAGAAAUCUGUUCAAAGAAUGAUAUGUAGAAGAUCUUUUGCUCCUGUACUUUAUGAACUUAAAUCAUUAGUGAAAAUUCUAAUUUAUUCUCAAAAGACGAGAAGACCCCAUAAAACUUAAUUUGAUACUUACUCUUUUUUCUUAAAAAUUUAGAUGGGGACUUUAGAGUAUUCUAAUAACUUUUUGACCUAAUUUAUUAUUUAUUGAGAAGCUACUUUGGGGAUAACAGGGUGAGAUGUUUGGAGAGUCCUUAUCGAUAAGCAUAGUUACUACCUCGAUGUUGGAUUAUCUUUUCAUAUACAUUGUAGCAGUGUAUAUUGUCAGUCUGUUCGACUGUUAAAAAGUUACAUGAUCUGAGUUUAAACCGUUGUAAGACAGGUUGGAUUUUAUCUUUGACUUUAUUUUUUAGCUUAUUAGUACGAAAGGAAUUUAGGUUUAUAAUUAUUAUU